UACGUAGGGUGCAAGCGUUAAUCGGAAUUACUGGGCGUAAAGCGUGCGCAGGCGGUUAUACAAGACAGAUGUGAAAUCCCCCGGGCUCAACCUGGGGAAUUGCAUUUGUGACUGUAUGGCUAGAGUGUGUCAGAGGGGGGUAGAAUUCCACGUGUAGCAGUGAAAUGCGUAGAUAUGUGGAGGAAUACCGAUGGCGAAGGCAGCCCCCUGGGAUAACACUGACGCUCAUGCACGAAAGCGUGGGGAGCAAACAGG
rnacentral:rRNA from 1 species